GGCAGCAUGGUGUAGUGGUUUGAGCAUUAGACUGACUCUGGAAACCAGGGUUCAAUUCCUUGUUCAGCCA